rnacentral:rRNA from 1 species
UGAAUACGAGAUGCUACGGCGUCGAAGCAGUGUAUGUCAGACUUCCAAGAAAAGCUCGCAAUGUCAUAAAUAAAGAAUGCCUGUACCAUAACCGACACAGGUGGGUAGGUAGAGUAUACUAAGGGGCGCGAGAUAACUCUCUCUAAGGAACUCGGCAAAAUAACUCCGUAACUUCGGGAGAAGGAGUGCCUUCUUUAAGAAGGUUGCAAUAACAAGAUCCAAGCAACUGUUUAUCAAAAACACAGGUCUCCGCUAAGUCGUAAGACGAUGUAUGGGGGCUGACGCCUGCCCAGUGCCAGAAGGUUAAAGAAGUUGGUUAGCUUUUGCGAAGCUGAUGACUGAAGCCCUGGUGAACGGCGGCCGUAACUAUAACGGUCCUAAGGUAGCGAAAUUCCUUGUCGGGUAAGUUCCGAGCCGCACGAAAGGCGUAAUGAUUUGGAUACUGUCUCGGAGAGGGACUCGGUGAAAUAGACUUGUCUGUGAAGAUGCGGACUACCUGCACCAGGACAGAAAGACCCUAUGAAGCUUUACUGUAACUUGAAAUUGAAAUUGGACUUUAUUUGCGCAGUAUAGGUGGAAGGCGUUGAAAGUAAUCUUGCGGGAUUAGUGGAGCCAUCAGUGAGAUACCACUCCUAUAAUGUUAGAUUUCUAACUUUGGAUCAUGAUCUGGUCAAAGAACAGUUUCAGGCGGGCAGUUUGACUGGGGCGGUCGCCUCCCAAAUGGUAACGGAGGCGUACAAAGGUUUCCUCUGAACGGGUAGAAAUCGUAUCUAGAGUGUAAAGGCAUAAGGAAGCUUGACUGUGAGACCUACAAGUCGAGCAGGGACGAAAGUCGGUCUUAGUGAUCUGACGGUGCUGAGUGGAAAGGCCGUCACUCAACGGAUAAAAGUUACUCUAGGAUAACAGGCUGAUCUCCCCCAAGAGUUCACAUCGACGGGGAGGUUUGGCACCUCGAUGUCGGCUCAUCGCAUCCUGGGGCGGUAGUACGUCCCAAGGGUUGGGCUGUUCGCCCAUGAAAGCGGUACGCGAGCUGGGUUCAGAACGUCGUGAGACAGUUCGGUCCAUAUCCGGUGUAGGCGUUAGAAUAUUGAGAGGAGCCUUCUUUAGUACGAGAGGACCGAGAAGGACAUACCUCUGGUGUACCAGUUAUCGUGCCAACGGUAAACGCUGGGUAGCUAUGUAUGGAGAGGAUAACCGCUGAAAGCAUCUAAGUGGGAAGCCCACCUCAAGAUGAGUAUUCUCAC